UACGGGGGGAGCAAGCGUUGUUCGGAUUUACUGGGCGUAAAGGGCGCGUAGGCGGCGUGACAAGUCACUUGUGAAAUCUCCGGGCUUAACUCGGGGCGGUCAAGUGAUACUGUCGUGCUAGAGUGCGGAAGGGGCUACUGGAAUUCUCGGUGUAGCGGUGAAAUGCGUAGAUAUCGAGAGGAACACCUGCGGCGAAGGCGGGUAGCUGGGCCGACACUGACGCUGAUGCGCGAAAGCCAGGGGAGCGAACGGG
rnacentral:rRNA from 1 species